UACGGAGGGUGCAAGCGUUAUCCGGAUUUACUGGGUUUAAAGGGUGCGUAGGUGGGUUGGGAAGUCAGUGGUGAAAUACUUUCGCUUAACGAAGGAACUGCCAUUGAUACUAUCAAUCUUGAAUGUAGUGGAGGUAGGCGGAAUGCGUCAUGUAGCGGUGAAAUGCUAGAUAUGACGCAGAACACCAAUUGCCGAAGGCAGCUUGCUACACUACUAUUUGACACUGAGGCACGAAAGCGUGG
rnacentral:rRNA from 1 species